rnacentral:hammerhead_ribozyme from 1 species
AUCCAGCCGACAAGUCUCAAAUAGGACGAAACGCGCGUCCUGGAU